AUAUGUAUAUAUAUAUAUAUAUAUAUAUAUAUACGUAUGUACAUACAUAUCACCCACUAAUACGUUAAUUCCAUCGAAUGUACGGUACUUCCGUGAUUGUAUCUUUUUGCGCGUUUUUAUAUUUUAUUUUAAAGAUAACAACUUUCAUCAAAUUCACAUUGACAAGUACUUGAGUAUAGUCUCUGGAAUGAAUCAACCUUGUUAUCCGGGACGACACGACGAAUGAACUAAAGAAAAUGUUUUAUCGAUAGUUUCAUUCGACAAGUAUUGAAAUAUUAGUAUUGAAAUAUUAGUAUUGAAGUAUUAGUAUUGAAGUAUUAGUAUUGAAGUAUUAGUAUUGAAAUAUGAGGAAAUCGAGCAAGAUCAUGGACAAACGACCAACGAUGAUAGAUUAGUAUCAGUUUCGAGAGCUCGCCGGGAGGCGAGUCAGCCCUAGGACGAUCUCCUGUCAUCACCGAUAGUUACGUCUUACAGUUAAUAUUAUUAAUAUUAUUUGAACCAGUAAUCCUUUAUUUUUGCCAAAUGUCAUAAAUUAUUUAUAUUAGUUUAUAUAUUUUCAAGUGAUUUUAUAUUGAUUUUAAAUUAAUCUUACUUCAAAUGAAAUAUAAGAAAUAAAAAAGAAAUUAACUUUCAUAAUCGCAUAAUAAAUAUAAAUCUUAUUACAUUCAUUGUAUUCCUUGCAAGGCGCUUAACUUUGAGCUGAUCCUGUGUCUGAUAAUGUCUGCAGUUAGACCGAUCAUUUUUCUGCAAUAUAUAAUUGUUAUAAUAUAUCAAUAUUUAGUUUCGAAAAAUAUAAAAAUUGUAAAAAUAAA